rnacentral:rRNA from 1 species
GGGAAACUUACCAGAUCAAGACAUAGUAAGGAUUGACAGAUUGAGAGUUCUCUCUCGAUUCUAUGGGUGGUGGUGCAUGGCCGUUCUUAGUUGGUGGAGUGAUUUGUCUGGUUAAUUUCGUUAACGAACGAGACCUUAACUUGUUGAAUAGUGAAUCGUAACCUCGGUUACGUUGGAAUCUUCUUAGAGGGACUUUGUUACAUUCAAGUUCAAGGAAGUUUGAGGCAAUAA